UACAGAGGGUGCGAGCGUUGUCCGGAAUCAUUGGGCGUAAAGCGCGCGUAGGCGGCCCGAUAAGUCUGCUGUGAAAGUCCAGGGCUCAACCCUGGAAUGCCGGUGGAUACUGUCGGGGCUAGAGUUCGGAAGAGGCAAGUUGGAAUUCCUGGUGGUAGCGGUGGAAUGCGCAGAUAUCAGGAGGAACACCUAUAGCGAAGGCAGCUUGCUGGGACGACACUGACGCUGAGGCGACGAAAGCGUGGGGAGCGAACAGG
rnacentral:rRNA from 1 species